GUUACUGGGAGCACAGAAGUCCUUGGGUUCAAGCCACUCUGGCCCUUUCCACUGCCAAGUGGAUAGAGCACAGAAAGGCUGUUGGAGCAAUGCUGGAAUUCCAAGUUGGUGGAAGAUCAGUACAGACUGAUUAAUGGUCUCUUCAAUGGAAAAAGAGUGUGCACACCCAACUUCUAGUAUAGGAGCAACUGCAACUCAGAUAUAAAGCACCUAAGCCCGUGCUGAUUAUAUUUCCUGAGCCUAGAUCAUUCGUUAUACAGAUGUGUUGUUCUCCUCUCCUGAUUGUCUAAUUAAUACUGAGAUGAGUGCUUAACUUUUAUUUUAAAUAAACUAAAAGAGCA
ensembl:lincRNA Gm43645 predicted gene 43645